rnacentral:lncRNA from 1 species
UAGUUAUAAAAACAUCAUAUCCAUCAUGUUAUAGUCAUAACAAUCAAAUCAAUCAUACUGAUAAUAGAGAAAAUCAAAUAAAUCAUUAUAUGCUCAGAUUUUUGUGUUAUGCUUCGCGAAGUCAUUUUGACUUCCAUCUACUGAGGGCAGAGAUGAAUUUCUGAUUACCCAUGUGGAAUGACCAGAUCAAAUAUAUAAUAGCAAUUUGCCAACAACACAUUUACAUCUUGGCAAACCAUGAUACAAUUUAUGACCACGGUCGUGCCAAGUGCGGUGGUCCUAUUAGAUACUGUAUAGCCACGGUAGUACUUUGCCAAAGGUAACCCCUAAUAGAUAAUUUGAGUCACCACUCCCAUUAGAGGGUACGCUGUUAUCCACAAGUAACGGUCCUCUCGUGUCUUUUCAGAUCAUAUUGGGGGAGAAAAAA